AAUGCACCAAUUUGUAAGUCGCUCUGGAUAAGAGCGUCUACUAAAUGUAAAUGC
rfam:Salmo salar isolate Sally breed double haploid chromosome ssa16, whole genome shotgun sequence.